GACGAACGCUGGCGGCGUGCUUAACACAUGCAAGUCGAACGGAAAGGCCCUGCUUUUGUGGGGUGCUCGAGUGGCGAACGGGUGAGUAACACGUGAGUAACCUGCCCUUGACUUUGGGAUAACUUCAGGAAACUGGGGCUAAUACCGGAUAGGAGCUCCUGCUGCAUGGUGGGGGUUGGAAAGUUUCGGCGGUUGGGGAUGGACUCGCGGCUUAUCAGCUUGUUGGUGGGGUAGUGGCUUACCAAGGCUUUGACGGGUAGCCGGCCUGAGAGGGUGACCGGCCACAUUGGGACUGAGAGACGGCCCAGACUCCAACGGGAGGCAGCAGUGGGGAAUAUUGCACAAUGGGCGGAAGCCUGAUGCAGCAACGCCGCGUGCGGGAUGACGGCCUUCGGGUUGUAAACAGAUUUCGCCGGUGACGAAGAGUGAGUGACGGUAAUGGGUAAAGAAGCACCGGCUAACUACGUG
rnacentral:rRNA from 1 species